UACAGAGGUCUCAAGCGUUGUUCGGAUUCAUUGGGCGUAAAGGGUGUGUAGGUGGCGCCGUAAGUCGGGUGUGAAAUUUCGGAGCUUAACUCCGAAACUGCAUUCGAUACUGCGGUGCUUGAGGACUGGAGAGGAGACUGGAAUUCAUGGUGUAGCAGUGAAAUGCGUAGAGAUCAUGAGGAAGAUCAGUGGCGAAGGCGGGUCUCUGGACAGUUCCUGACGCUGAGGCACGAAGGUCAGGGGAGCAAACGGG
rnacentral:rRNA from 1 species